rnacentral:rRNA from 1 species
UGGGGAAUUUUGGACAAUGGGCGAAAGCCUGAUCCAGCCAUGCCGCGUGCAGGAUGAAGGCCUUCGGGUUGUAAACUGCUUUUGUACGGAACGAAAAGACUCUGGUUAAUACCUGGGGUCCAUGACGGUACCGUAAGAAUAAGCACCGGCUAACUACGUGCCAGCAGCCGCGGUAAUACGUAGGGUGCAAGCGUUAAUCGGAAUUACUGGGCGUAAAGCGUGCGCAGGCGGUUAUAUAAGACAGAUGUGAAAUCCCCGGGCUCAACCUGGGAACUGCAUUUGUGACUGUAUAGCUAGAGUACGGCAGAGGGGGAUGGAAUUCCGCGUGUAGCAGUGAAAUGCGUAGAUAUGCGGAGGAACACCGAUGGCGAAGGCAAUCCCCUGGGCCUGUACUGACGCUCAUGCACGAAAGCGUGGGGAGCAAACAGGAUUAGAUACCCUGGUA